rnacentral:rRNA from 1 species
CCUGGUGGCCCUUGCGACGUGAUAAAACCCGAUCCCAUCCCGAACUCGGCCGUUAAGCACGUCAGCGCCGAUGGUACUAUGUCUCAAGACCUGGGAGAGUAGGUCGUUGCCAGGC